CAUAUGCUUGUUUCAAGGACUUAGCCAUGCAUGCCUCAGAAUCACUGCACUUGCAGGAAUCUGCGCAUGGCUCAUUACAUCAGACGUAAUCUGCCGCAAACAUGUUGCGGUUACCGCAUUAUUGGAUAACUUGGCGAAAAGCCAAGCUAAUACAUGAGUAGAAGGAACGCUCUCUGAAUUGGGUAGUGGGGCAACUCACUGCUUAUGGGACGUUCAGCGAAUGAAUGAAAGUAAAACCAAUGCCUUUUUGGCAGUAUCACCUAGAAGUGUUGACUCAAUUCAUUCCGUGCGAAAGC
rnacentral:rRNA from 1 species